ensembl:lncRNA
GGUGCUUCUACCAAACGUCUGUUGGCACGGUAACAGGUGCUGAUAGUUAAGGCUCUGACUGACACCCUUUUUAAAAUGAGCAGCGAACAGUCUGUGCACGCUGGACAUCCCGCAGGAUUUAUAAGAGUGCUGUGUGGAAACCCAAGUCUGCGACACCAGGGCCUUGUCUAAGUUUAGUGCCGUUUACCUGUUAAACUGACAGAAAAGUCUGCUGCACGAGAUCUCAAGUUUGUCGGCUGCUUCACUGCUGCGCUGGAGUGGAGGGCUGCUGUGAGAUCCCCCGCUUCUGCGUUCCGCUGCUGUGAGAUCCCCCGCUUUUGCGUUCUGUUGCUGUGAGAUCCCUCGAUUCUGCGUUCCGCUGCUGUGAGAUGCCCAUGAAAGAUAAUAUCCGAGUCGUCCGACGGCUGAGGGAAGCGGCGUGGCACACGGUCUGGGAGCUAGGUUCGUCUGCUCCCAGUUCAAUGCUAAGGUAACCCAGGGUACUGUGACAAAGCCCGCUACUCCCCGCUGACCGUCGGAGGUCCACCCCGUCCUAAGUCCCUCCGCCAAAGCUAAGUAGCCUCAGUAGGAUAGCCACACUAUUAAAUCCUCUCCCUGCCUCUUUACUGUCAAGUGUUUUGCUAACCCCAGUGCCUCUAUCUCUCUCCCUGGACAGGUGCAGUGAGUUUCACUUGAGCGACAGGCUGACCCCCAGGUGGUGGAGCCCACCCCCUCACUUUUCCUUGCUGUGUGCAUAACGGUUGCCCUAUUUUGGAGUGCAGUGCUUACUGGUUUUAUGCAUGUGUGGUGUGUGUCUUCUGGGCCUCUCCUGUCCCCCUCUUGGAAAGUCCUGCUCGCUGCGGGUGACUACCUAGGUGGCGUAGUCGACAAUUAAAACUAUCCUAGUAAACUACCUCGCCACUGUCACACAUAUAAAAGACAAAGACUGUGUGGCUCUGGAGGUGCAGUACCACGAAGGCUGUUAUAAUCAGUACAUCAGGUUUUUGACAAGGCCUGAAAAACCAGAGAAAGAACAGAAUGAGCCCACGUUUGAUGUCAGCUAUAAGAUAUUCUGUGAGAGGAUCAUUCGCCAAAGGCUGCUUGUCAACCAAGAGGUGCUGAGAAUGGGCCAGCUGAGGAAGGCCUUCAUUGAACUGGUGAAAGCAAAUGAAGGUCUUGAUGUUUCAAACUACAGACAGGAUAUGUUGAAGAAGAGGCUGACUCGUGAUUUCCCCCAGCUGGUGUUUCACAUGCCCUUGGUGCGCAACAUCUGCAAGCUGGUUUUUACAGAGACCCUGUCAGAACUUGGGUCAACAAGUGCAGGCAGCAACAUGCAGAAUGGACACCCACUUUGCUGCACAAGCUGAAUUGGCAUAUGUUUUUGUGAAGUCCACAGAUACGGAUAGAUGUGCAAUCCCAAGCUGGACAGGUUUCCAUACACUGCUUCUAUGGGGCGCCGUUUGUAAAAUGUUGCACGUUCGAAAAUCCUGCUCAGUUUUGCUACAUUUAGCAUUUUCAUAUGGAACAAAAAGCACGACAAUAUUCGAAUGUCACUUUUUCAAGCAUUUAG